rnacentral:rRNA from 1 species
AUUGAACGCUGGCGGCAGGCCUAACACAUGCAAGUCGAGCGGAGUGGCGAACGGGUGAGUCACUCGUGGGUGACCCGCCCUGCACUUCGGGAUAAGCCUGGGAAACCGGGUCUAAUAACGGACAGUGUGGGAUGGGCCCGCGGGCUAUGAGCUUGUUGGUGGUGUAAUGGCCUACCAAGGCGGCGACGGGUAGCCGGCCUGGGAGGGUGGACAGCCAAAUUGUGGCUAGGGCACGGCCCAGACGCCUACGGGAGGCAGCAGGGGGGAAUAUGGCACGAUGGGCGGAAGCCUGAAGCAGGGACGCCGCGGGGGGGAUGGCGGCCUUCGGGUUGUAAACUCCUUUCACCAUCGACGCGGUAGAUGGAGAAGAAGCACCGGCUAACUACGUGCCAGUAGCCGCGGUAAUAC